rnacentral:lncRNA from 1 species
CACAUGUCACUUUGAAAUGGAGUUACGCAAAAUGUGAAGUUUCUAGAGAGAAAAAAAUGUUUUAAACUUUGGCAAAUAUGGAGACUAUAUCUGUAAACAUUAAACCAGAACUGGAAGAAUGCAGAAUGCAUGUUUGAAAAUAAUUGCACAGAGGAUUCUUUAUCCUCGUAUAUAUUAAAAUAGAAGAACACGUGUUACAAUGUGAAAUAAAUAGUCCAUUUACCCAUUUCCCAUCAUCAGUAAUCAAGAAGUUAAAACAGAAAUUAAAAAAGAAUUGGAUGAACAUAAUUUAGGAGUAAAUCAUGGGUGUGAAAUUCGAUUUAAAAGAACCGAUCCAAAAGAUUUAGACUCAGACGAAGAUGUAAAAUUACCGAUAGGGGCUUCAGCUGAGAUACAUCAUGAAAAGCAUUGUGGAACUAUGGAAACAUCAAAAUCACUGUCCAACAUUUGUAAACGAAGGAUACGUCAGAACGAGAUUAAAACGAAAUUCGAAAGUUCGUUGGUAACAGCCACUGGAGAAAAGCGUUAAAGUGCGAAAUUUGUUUCAACCAAUUUAGUCGAGCAGGUCAUUUCAAAGAGCAUUUGAGAACACACACUGGAGAAAAACCUUACAAGUGCGAAAUUUGUUUUAAGCAAUUAAGUCGAGGGGGAAAUUUGAAAACGCAUUUAAGGAUACACACUGGA